UGGGGAAUAUUGCACAAUGGGCGCAAGCCUGAUGCAGCCAUGCCGCGUGUAUGAAGAAGGUCUUCGGGUUGUAAAGUACUUUCAGUGGGGAGGAAGGGAGUAAAGUUAAUACCUUUGCUCAUUGACGUUAACCGCAGAAGAAGCACCGGCUAACUCCGUGCCAGCAGCCGCGGUAAUACGGAGGGUGCAAGCGUUAAUCGGAAUUACUGGGCGUAAAGCGCACGCAGGCGGUUUGUUAAGUCAGAUGUGAAAUCCCCGGGCUCAACCUGGGAACUGCAUCUGAUACUGGCAAGCUUGAGUCUCGUAGAGGGGGGUAGAAUUCCAGGUGUAGCGGUGAAAUGCGUAGAGAUCUGGAGGAAUACCGGUGGCGAAGGCGGCCCCCUGGACGAAGACUGACGCUCAGGUGCGAAAGCGUGGGGAGCAAACAGG
rnacentral:rRNA from 1 species